rnacentral:rRNA from 1 species
UACGGAGGGGGCUAGCGUUGUUCGGAAUUACUGGGCGUAAAGCGCACGUAGGCGGCUUUGUAAGAUUAGAGGUGAAAGCCCGGGGCUCAACUCCGGAAUUGCCUUUAAGACUGCAUCGCUAGAAUUGUGGAGAGGUAAGUGGAAUUCCGAGUGUAGAGGUGAAAUUCGUAGAUAUUCGGAAGAACACCAGUGGCGAAGGCGACUUACUGGACACAU